AAGUUACUCCCUCCGUCUGAAAAUACUUGUCAUCAAAAUGGAUGAAAAGAGAUGUAUCUAGAACUAAAAUACGUCUAGAUACAUCCAUUUUAUUUAUUUUGAUGACAAGUAUUUCCGGACAGAGGGAGUAUUUU
rnacentral:pre_miRNA from 1 species